UCUUAAAUAACUGUUUUCUUUCCUACUACAGCCCUUUGGAAAUAAUACUCUACCUUGGCCUUGAGAGAUCCAGAGCCCAGCCACCAGGCUUGCAAGAGCUACUCUGCCUCCAUCCAGGGAAAGCAGUGUGGGGGCCGGUACCGCCUCAGGAGACCUUCUGGCCAGCUAGUCACGAAGCAGAGGGGCCGCGCUAAGCCAUGACCGGGAAGUCAGACCCAAGCCUCCUUUCUGAUGGGGAUGCAUAAGACGUUAUCUGUAGAGAACAUCGGGCCUCCCAUUUUCUGAAAAAGCCGGUGGCAAGUGUCAGCACUAAGAUAUGGUGAGAAGGUCGGUGUUCUGGGGUGGAUGGAGAGUCGAAAGCGGGAGCCACACAGAUUCACCGCUCCGCUGUGCUUCUGGUCGAAGGAGGGGGCUGAGCGAGAUCUGUGGUGUCGAGGACACAGCUGGACAGUCGUCAUCCUGGAGGUAACUGGGAGUCCCCGAGCCUCGGGAGCAGCCUGCUGAGUUACAUCAUUCGUUGACAGGUAUUGCUAAGAAGAGACUCAACAGUAAACCAACAACUGAGCAUAGAUGUGUUCAUUCAUUCAUUCAUUCAAUGUGAGUAUCAGAGCUGUGGCAACUACUAGGAUGGGAGCAGAGCAAGCAAAGAUGGAAGAUGCAGAUUUGUAGGGGAGGCAGGUGAACAAAUGGGUAAGCUGGGAUGCAGGGUGGUAAGU